rnacentral:lncRNA from 1 species
GUCAAUCUCUUCUUGAGUGUUCAUCACGAACGGCCCGAGCUGUGCCACGGGCUCGCCCAACGGCUCGCCUCCGACCAAGAUGAACCUCAAGGGCUUGGCGGAUUUGUUCCACACCUCGACCCCGUCUCCGUGGCCGAGGAGGAGGAGGUGGUGGGCGGUCACGGGCGAGGAUUUCGAGAUCCCGAAGACCCCCUCGCCCUCGAGGAUGUAGAUGAAGGCGUUCCACGAGGCGGGUAUCGGCUGCUGCAGGUGAGCCCCUGGCUUGAGGGUGAAGUCCAAGUACAUGGUGGGUGUUCUUGUGUAGACAGGGGAUUUGGCUCCUAAAGCCUCUCCUGCUAUGACUUUCACUUUGAUCCCAUCUACUGCAGCUUCUGCAAUGUCUUUGCCUGAUAUUUCUUGGUACUUCGGUUCAGUCCUGCCAUAGAAAAACCAGAGGCGGGAAUCAUUCUACUGUUAAUGAUAACUACUCGUGUUAACCACAUCAGCAAUAAAGGCGACGCUUGAUGAUUGAAAAGCUUAGCUAAUCUAGACAAGAUUUUUCCUACUUGGCAGACCACCAUUAACACUACAGGAGGAGAAAAUUGCUGCUGCAGACCUAGACUGAACUCACAUUUUGUGUUUGGAGGAGAGGUUGACCCAGAGCUGUAACCCUUUUUGAGUUCCUUGACUUGCAGGCAUCUCGGAAUGGACAAUCCCCCUCCCCGCGGUCAUCCAUUGUAGAUCACCGGGUCCUAUCGUCCCUUUGUGUCCUUCGAAAUCUUCAUGUGUCACGGAUCCCUAUACAUCAACAUUAUUAUUAUCAAUACUUUUUACUUUUAAAGUGUAACAAUCAAAUAAAUAUUUAAAAUUAGUUUUCGUGAGUUAACAUAAAUUAUCAUUAUUUGAAAAGAGAAAUUUCUUUUAUGAUUGGACCCAUAUGGGUGACCACUAGUAGGAGAAAUGAUGCAUCUCAUCGUUGUCAUCAAUUACAACGGGAUCCGAAUUCCCACACUAAUGGCCCAUGUAGGUACUCUAAAUGAUGAGUGGUGGAGAUUAGGCAAUUCCCCAACAUGAAACACAAAUUACAAACACAUGCUGGGCAAAGGACAAAACAAAUAGAUGCAAACUAGUCUUUUGGUCGUUUUAACACUUCCCGCGGCUCCCUCUGGGCUUUUAAGUGCAUAUGGUCGGUCAAACCUUGGACAAGAAAAAAGCUGUUGCCUUGCGUCUGUGAGGCGUGGCCUUUUGCAUGCUCACCUAAAGUGGUUGCUUGCCGGCCACGCCCGCAAGCCAUGAAUACUGGAAAUUUCCAUCUAUCGGUUUCACCGGUUUUGAUGAAGUCAUUCUUAUUGGCUGAUUCUCCUCCAUGAGAUAAGCAGGAACUCAAUAUGAAAACAACCUCAUUGAAGACUUUUCUAGUUUUGCUCACUUCCUUCUAACAAACGUGAUUAAACUCUCACUUUUAUUGGUUUUUAAAUGGACUUUUCAUGCUUUUUACCAACUCAGGAAUAGAUUUAUUGGACUUAUAGGAGAGUCGAGAGUCGUCGAAAUUGAACAAAACUUUCGUACCUGUAACAUGUAGGUGACGGUCUCGAAUCCUGUUCACAGAAAGCAAAAGAAUCAAAACAGAGUCCAUGAAAUAUGUCUACACUUAUAAUCCGCUCAUAUUGCUCCGUUUUCUUUUCAAGCAUUCACCAAAUCGCAAAUCCAUGAUUCAAGAAGCCCAAGAAACACGAACCUCUGUGCGGAUGGUCUGGAAAUCCAGCAGGAGCAGUCACUGCAGACCAGAAAACCGGAAGAAAUUAGAAAAGUAAAGAAUUUGGAAUUCUUAUCCAGCAUUGAUCACAAUUUUUGAUUGAGUAUAAGCAGAAGAACAAAAGAACAGAGAGAGAAUAUAGACACCCCACCUGAAAAUUCAUCCAAGACAAGGAAAGGGUCGAAAUAUCUCAGCUCAAACCUGGAAACGCAAGACACCCUUUUAGCCAAACCGUUCGGAUUCGCGUCACGAAGACGAAAGAAAAUGAAGAUCGAGAAGGAUCGAUUCCCAUCUCUCCUUACCGGCCAAUGCUUCUCCUGACGAUGGCCCCGACGCCCUCGUGUUGAGGCCUGGCCAGGAACUUCCUGGCCACCAACCGCGGCUCGCUGAUCUCGCAAGAGACUUCUCUCUCCGUCAUCUUCUUCUCCUCUUGAUUCGGCUCGACCCUUCGGUGCAAGUGCUCUGUAUUGGCGCUUGUGCUGGUGCUGGUGAUCGAAUUUUUGCUUUUGGUGAAGAAAAAGCUGGAGGCACUGGAGGGUAUUUAUAGGGAGGAUUUGAAAAGAAAGGAGAAGGUUGGGACUGGUACAGUGACAGGUGUUCUUCUUCCUCAAACGGGGAAGGUCAAAGGGAAGCGUUCGGCUCGGCUGGCCGAGCGGGCCCCCACCGUGCUCGAGUUCGAUCUCUCUCUCGCGGUGUAUUAAUUUUUUGUGGAUUUUAAUGCCAUGCAAGGAGUGGCGUCAGCAUAUCGUGGACGUGAUGUCGGGGGGCUAGGGCUCUCGAUCUGGACCGUCGGUUCGAGUUUCUACGUCGGGAUUCGAUCCGUGACGAGCGGAUGUCGUCGAUGAUGUGCUGGUCGCGUACAGAGUGGCCGGUGGGGCCCGCCGAUUUCCAUAUUGUAAAGUGUUCUCCUCUCUUGUGGUAUUCGCGGGAUGUUCCAUUUUUCCGGAUCGUUAGCGGCGGGGCGUGACAUUAAAUUUUUCAUUUUUGCGAAAAAAAUAAAAUUUUGGGGACCAAAAUAUCCGGCGGUCUUUUUCUCCCAUUUAUACCACCCACCAAAUGCUUUAUUUGCAGCUUUGAAAAUAAAUGUUGCGGCUUAUAUAAUGUGUUUGAAAAACACCUCGCUGCUUCAAAGUUCAACAAUACAACAAUUUAUAGCGGUGUUUAGAAAAUUAUCUCACCUAGUUUUGAAUUGCUAGAAAUUUUAAAUAUAUGUUGUCAAGAAUUAGAUUUCAUAGCAUAGUUACAGUUGAGUUAAUAGCUUCUUAGGGCACGCAUAACAAAUUUUCUAAAAUAAAAUUCAAUUUAUGGUCAAACAUUGAUUUUUUUGAUUUCUAUUCCCAAAAUAAGUUUCUAAGUACGUGUUUAAUAACAAUUCAAAAUUUAUGUUUUUACAAUAGAAAUUCGUUUAAUAACAAAAUAAAAUUUUAAUUUCUAAGAGGGCAGCGACCAGUGACUAGCGAUCGGCGUAUGGCAUCCAUCUGGUGGUGGGCGGUUGGCAACCGGCGUCCGACAAUGGGCGGCCGGCGACCGACGAUGGGUGGCCCACAUCCUAUGAGCGAUGGGUGAGCAACAGGCGACAAUGAGAGUAAACAAUAAAAAAAGUCUUCAUUUCUCAUUUUUAUUCCAAAAAUAGAAAAACUACCAAACGGAUUUUUGUUUCUAACGUAUUUUGGGGACUAGAAAAAUAAAGAAAUAGAAAAAUGGAAAUUUUGUCAAACUUGCCCUUAGUCAAACUAAAACUUGAAGUUGACCAAUUGGAAUAGCUCACCGGUUUUGUUAGGUUAUUAAUUGGUGUAGUGACAUUGUUCAUAGUUUAGCAUUUUUCUAACCAUAACUUUGACCCGUCGCUUUUUAGAUAUCGAGUAAAAGAAAGUACCAAAAAGUUUUGGACCUAUUUUAUUAGUGCUAAUUUAGUCAUAAACAUUUUAAUUUGGAUGAUUUAAUCAUAAAAAUUUUCAUGCCAAUUGAGUCUAUCUAGUUAAUUUGAGUUAUCAAUUAAUGACGUCCACCUUUCAUGUUGACAUUUUUAUAAUAUUUUAAUUUUUAUAUAUUUUUAUAUAUUCUUUAUUUUUUUUCCUUUCGUUUUGGCUGGGAUGGUUGGCAAAGGUCACAACUCUAGCCCAAGUCCUAGGCAAGAGCAACAACCCUUAGCAACCAAAAUGAAAGGAAAAAUAAAUAAAAAUUAAUUAAAAUUCAUUUUUUAUUGUAAAAAUUGUUUACAUUAGUAUCAAUUGUGUCACGUAAGAAGACUAACAUUCACGUCAGUGGUUAUGGUCAAUAUUGGCUGAAAAUAACUCAAUUAGCUUAAUACAAUCGAAAUAUUUAUGACUGAAUUAAUAUAAAUGCAAUGGGUUUUAGAUUUUUUUUUCCCUUACUUUCAUCAUUUUGAGCAUAACGUGGACAAUUUUUUUUUUUUAAAGAGUAUAACAGAAAUUAAUAUAACUUUCGGGAAAACUUUGAAAAUUUACAUAUAUCCUGCAUUUCAACAUUUUAAUAGUUUGAAAAAGUUUCAGGUUUUCCGUGUACACUAAAGCCGAAGCAUGCGCCCCGCAAAUUUUGUGGAGGAAAACAGAACACGAGUCAGUUCAUAAACGCCUUAUUUGCUACUUUCCGAAAUCCACUCAAAAGUUUAGACUUCUUUUUAGUGCAAAAUAUCUGCAACUCAGUUCGAUAUACAAAUAAUAAUAUGCAUAAUCAUAUACAAAUUUGCUGUAAUCCUUUGAAAUUUAAAAUAUCAUCUUUCGAUUUGCAAAUUUUAGAGGGACAGUCUUGAGUAGAAAAAAAUUAGUGAUUCUUUACGUACUCGAGAUCGACGUAGUAUUUCAUCACGCAAUUCUAGAACUAGAUUAGAUCCUGGGCUCCAAUUCCAGAACUACAUCAAAUUUUUGACAAAUAAGUUGAGUUGAGUAAAGUUGAACUUAUUAAACAGAUUUUUUUUUUAAAAAGGUAAGUGAAAAUUUUACUGAUAUGUAUAAAUAAAUAAAUAAAAUCAUACAAAUUUGGCUCCUCAAGAUAUGUCUACGGAUGGGCAUGGGAUAUGAGACCUCGACCCAACUGAGGUGGUUUUUCUUUACGAGAGACAAUUAGCUAGGAAAAUUGUGGGAAAUGAGAUGCGGAUUUUGGCAAAGCGGAGCUGUAAUAGGCUUGCCCCACUCUGUCUAUACGUUUUACGAUUUUCCGAUCUAUAAACAUGAAACUUUUUCUUUAUAAAAAGACAUGCUUAAUUGGACAUUUUUAAGGUUCCAUUUGUUUCUCAAAAAAUAAAUAAUUUGUAAAAUAUUUUUCUAAUUAUAUCCCUUCAAAUAAUUAAUUGAUAAGAAAUCUUUUCAUUAUCAAUAGCAAUUAAUGUCUAAAUAUUUCAUAAAUAAUAAAAAUGUUAUUUAUUUAUUCAAUUUCAUAAACAAUAUAAAUGAUUAUAUGAGGAAAAAUAUUUUUUUAAUUAUUCGUUAAUUGGAGCCUAAGCACUUUUUUUUUUUAAUUGGUUGGUUCUUAGGAAUUCAAUUCCUCCGUUCAUCCUGCCUAUAUCUGGUCCUUGUCCAAAAAAAAAAUCCUGCCCAUAUCUGGUCAACCGAUCAAGAACGUCACGUCGCCGUUAUGCGUGCGGUCAUCCUCACGACUCCUAAGCCUCGUAUAUCCUCGUUGACCUUGUAGUCCCCAUUUUAACGCUGCUUUGUUCGAGCAAGUAAUUUGAUUCAAAGUCGAACACGUUAAACAGCAGUGACAUCCAAGCAUCGUCCGCCGCAUGUCAUCCUCCUCCUCCUCCUCCUUCACCGACUCGACAACAUGAAUUACGACCGAAGCGACCUAAUUUCGUGUCGAUAGCCAUUUGGAAUCUAGCUGCCUUAACUAAGGAUCAUGUCAUAUAAUCCAAAAUCCAACACAUCACAUUUGAUGAUGUUUUCAACACCUUACAAGAUGUCAAAUCGGAUGGAGUAAUAAAAUCAAGUCAAAUUGACUAAAGCUAAAUUGGAUUUAUUGUGCACACCUUAUCCAUAGAAUAUAUAUAUACACACAUAUAUAUGGCCAAUAUAAAACUUGAUGACCUUAGAUGAGGAAUUGUAUGAUUUAUUUACCCAAAUGCAAUGUUUUAAAGAUCAUAACAAAGAUUAUAUUAGAUGGUCGAGCAAUGAAAUUUGAUUGAGUCAACUAAAUAGAAUGGAGUUGCAAAAAUUAAAUAAAUAAAUAAAGCCCAAAAAAUGAAGCUCGACUUUAGAUUGAUCAAAUGGGUGAGUUGGGAUUGGGUUGAGUUGAAAAUUAUUCGACCCAAAUUGAUCAAUUUAACUCAUUGGGUAAUACAAAUCUAGCAUCAAUUGCUAAAAGGCCUUCAUAUUUAUCCAAAAUUAGGAAACUCAUACCCAAAUUGAAUAAUAGCAUGGAACGAGUGAGCCGUAAAAUUAAAUGAUGACAAGAGAGUUAUAGAUGUAAAUUUGAUUCAUUUGAUACUUAUAUUAUUUUGAGUUUUACAUUUUUGAUUUACUCGUAACUUAUUUACAACUUAAUAUGAUUAAUUUAUGUAAUAAUUCAUUUAAUCAGAUAUGAAUUAAGAAAUAAAUUUAAUAAUCCAUUUUGGCACGUACCUGUUGGCAACGUAAUUUUCCGGGUACGACUUUCCAAAUAAUGCACGCAUGCGUCAGACUCACGUGAUUCGGAUGGACUGCAUAUGGUAAGAGGAGAACUCUCAAUUGGGUCCCACGAACUCCGAACCCCUAGUGGGCCCCUAUAGACAGCGUUAACUAGAGGCAACAUGGGAGUCCAGUGACGUCACUGCUGGAGAAGCAUGACGAACGAGAGACUCGUUCCGAAAUCAAAGUGCUAUGUAGAGAUAAAGUUGAAUUGACAGGUCAGUACUAUGAAUAGGCAUCAGAUCUAUCCAGCGAAGGGUAAGUACAGAGUCUUCAUGAUUAAUUAUUCUAAUGAGAUACAUAUCCACACUAGAGUAGAAUUCUUACGGGUGCCCAGACAAAGGAGAAGAAAAGGCAUAGAUGCACUAGAAGAGGAUGAAAUGAGAGAACAGAUCAGGUGGAGGGGAAAAGGAAAUAUAAUGUUUACAGGGAAAGGUUUGCUAUUGGAAAUCUUAGUUGGGGAUAAAUUAGGAGGAGGAGAAAUAUUCAUGGUGCAAGAUUGAAUGAAGAGGAGAACAAUGCACGACGAUUGGGGAACCUGAACGAAAACAAAAUGAUAUUUGCUUGUCAAGUCGUGAUGCUUAUUGUUCUGUGCAAUAGAGAUGCAUGCAAGCUUGCCAUUAAGAGCCUAAGCAUGCUUAAUUGAGCCCUAGAGAACAUUUACAACAUAAACUUGCUUUGAAAUGGUAAAGCGAGGAUCCAUAUAGCUAGGCCCUUUACCAUCACCACCAAUGUGUUGCUGUGAUCAUAAACAAAUGUUUUGGCAAAUUGGUAAAAAAGAAAACAUCUGGGAAAAAGAUAAGAGGACCUCAUCAUUUAGCAAAAAUUAUAUGAUCUAGAUAAUACGCUAGCACAUGUAGGUGAAAUAAAUUCCAUUGUUAUAUUAUAAUGUGUUGAAUAUUCUCAAGGAGUCACAGCAAUUUUCAGAAAUAACACUUGAAAUUAGCCUGUCAAAAAACCUUUUCUAGUCAAUUAUUGCUGAGGAAAUCUCAAGGCUUCCAAAUCCUCACGGCAGACUCCUAUAGGUUUGUUAUGGCGUGGGACCAAAUCAAGAUAGUUCCCGCUUCUGCUCUUUUACGUGCUACACAAGUUCUCGUCAAAAGCUUAAGUGUUAGGAACAAUACCCACAGUUUCGUAAGUAUAGUUCUCAACACCUUCAAUAUCAGCUACACUUUAUCCAGUAGGCGGAUAUAGCCACAUUGAUGAGGAUAAGCACAAUCACUGAAAAUAGGAGCACAAUUACCUAACUAAGAGGGAUACGAAAUGAAAUCAUGAGAGUAGCACUAGACCUUGAAAAACACCCAUUUUACCAAAAGUCCAAACUAUCAAAGAAUUUGCACAAAAUGCAUAUCAAGCAUACUCCUCAAAAGGGGAUACAAGAGUCAAAUUUACCAUGAAACAGUAAUGAUGGUGAGAAAGACUGAGUUUCUUUGAUAACUAAGUAUUCUCUCUGAAUUCAAAAGGCUAUUACAGAUAUUUGAUCAAAGAUAGUUUUGGUGACUUCGUUCAAUCUAUAUCCUAUAUCAAAAACCAAUUGUUGAAAGAAACAUGAGUCUAAAAUCCUUUACUCUCAUCCUGCUACAAUUCCUAAACAAAGUUAACAAAGGUCCUUUCCACUUGUACUGAAACUGAUAUUCUGUGUUUCAGGCUAAUUCUUACAGCCAAACCCGAAUUAGUCAUGCCAAGAAUGAUGCCAACAUGUAGAUCCAAUUUCCACUUCAACUAAAAACUGUGGUACCACCUAAAAACUUGUAGUAUGCACCCAUUAAGCCAUAAACGGGAAGAGAACAAAUGAUUUUCAUACCCCCCUCAAGACUAUCCUACGCAUGCAGAAAUCAUAAGCACUAAAGAAUGAAUUCGAAGACCAAACCAUCCUUCUCAUACCAUGCAAUGGCCGUCUACAAAGAUGACAUGAGGUCGGAACGGUAAUUCAGCGACCCUAGAGGAAACAUAUGCAUUGUACCAAUCAGUAACCGUGUAGAAUAAGUUUGCGUAUUCAUAGCGGGUGAUAAGAAGUGUUGGCUCCUCAAUCCACUGCAAUCAAGAGAGAUAAUGUUAGAGAGAUAUAAAAUGAAAUGACGAGCAGAGAAAACAGAGAGAAGAAAGUAGAAACAGUCCAGAUAAAAAGAAAAAUAAACAGCUAACGGGAAAAAACCACCUGUCCAACCAGAUUAGUCUAGACUAUAGAUCCUAAAAACUUUUGUUCUCGUCUUUCCCAGAAUCUAGGGAAUGCAUAAUCAGCCGUGAGCAAUUUCAGUUUGGCCAGAAUUUCCAGCUUUGCAAUAACCGUUGGUUCUGCGAGGCCAUUAUCGAUUACGAAAGGAAAGAGCUACAACAAAAAACCACCUGUCCAACUGAAUUUACCCAGAAUCUAGAUCUCUCCAUUCUAUGCGGUUGCCAUCAUUCCCAGAAUCUAGGAGAUAAACUAAUCACUUGUUAGCUACUCAGCUUUUCAUUAUCACUGGUCCCCUAACUGUAAUAGCAUUCAAUUAACUACAUAUCUGAAAAUGCAUAGCAAUCAUAUUGCGCUCCCCCGACAAAUGACAUAAUUUUGGAAGAAGGAGGGCGACCACCACUUUCAGCAGAUUGUAGCUUCUUGCAUUCAUGCUUCUCCUUCUCCCUCUCUCUAUUUCGAGCUUACGUGAAUUCGAUGGAAAUGGCGGCGACGGAAAUGGCGACGGAGCGUCGAAAGGGAGAAGCGAGUUCUGUUGGGUUGACCAGAAAGCUUGGUCGUGUCGUGUCUUUGGUUAGAGCGAUUCCUUCAUUGCGUGUUCCUCGCGGGUGUUCUUUUUCUCUUUCUCGAUUUAAGGAAUUUUCGUUUUCUGUCUUCGAAGUUUCGUUUUAUUUUCCUGCUAAGGAUUAAAAAAUGUGCUUUCGAAUCAGGAGGAAAUUGCUCCAAAAAAAAAAAACGAAAUGUGAUUAGUAUCUUUGAUCAUAAGCCUCUUUUUUUUUUUGUGAAUUAAUGCAAUUGUAAGUCGUUCCGUGCAUAACUAUUGCUAUCUUGUAUGGACAUCAUUUCUAGAUUUUACUUACGAAAAUUAAAGGAAUCUCAUUAAAUUGAUAAUAAAGAGUCUUCAUAUAGGCAAAGAUCAAUGAAGCAUCUCUAUUCCAAAAUUAAAAUAUAAUAAAUCAUUGCUAUGGAUACAAAUUUUCUAAAAAUCAUAAAUGAAUCACCACAAAUUUCAAAUCAAUGUACAAUUCUAAGAAGGAACUUGAUGUUUUUUUUAUUUCUCUAUGCCUCCAAAGAAAAGGCUCCAGUUGAUUCUUGAUUUUUAUUUCAAUGGUAAGUUAGCUAAAAGUCCGAUCUCCUCCAAUGCCUUGCCUUCUCGAACCCAUUGAUACAGUUCUCGAAAUCAUAUAUCGUCCUGUCAAUCUCUUCUUGAGUGUUCAUCACGAACGGCCCCAGCUGCGCCACGGGCUCGCCCAACGGCUCACCUCCGACCAAGAUGAACCUCAAGGGCUUGGCGGAUUUGUUCCACACCUCGACCCCGUCUCCGUGGCCGAGGAGGAGGAGGUGGUGGGCGGUCACGGGCGAGGAUUUCGAGAUCCCGAAGACGCCCUCGCCCUCAAGGACGUAGACGAAGGCGUUCCACGAGGUGGGUAUUGGCUGCUGCAGGUGAGCCCCUGGUUUGAGGGUGAAGUCCAAGUACAUGGUGGGUGUU